AGCUUGCUUUCCUGCCGGCGAGUGGCGAACGGGUGAGUAAUACAUCGGAACGUGCCCUGUAGUGGGGGAUAACUAGUCGAAAGAUUAGCUAAUACCGCAUACGACCUGAGGGUGAAAGUGGGGGACCGCAAGGCCUCAUGCUAUAGGAGCGGCCGAUGUCUGAUUAGCUAGUUGGUGGGGUAAAGGCCUACCAAGGCGACGAUCAGUAGCUGGUCUGAGAGGACGAUCAGCCACACUGGGACUGAGACACGGCCCAGACUCCUACGGGAGGCAGCAGUGGGGAAUUUUGGACAAUGGGCGAAAGCCUGAUCCAGCAAUGCCGCGUGUGUGAAGAAGGCCUUCGGGUUGUAAAGCACUUUUGUCCGGAAAGAAAUGGCUCUGGUUAAUACCCGGAGUUGAUGACGGUACCGGAAGAAUAAGGACCGGCUAACUACGUGCCAGCAGCCGCGGUAAUACGUAGGGUCCAAGCGUUAAUCGGAAUUACUGGGCGUAAAGCGUGCGCAGGCGGUUGUGCAAGACCGAUGUGGAAUCCCCGGGGCUUAACCUGGGAAUUGCAUUGGUGACUGCACGGCUAGAGUGUGUCAGAGGGAGGUAGAAUUCCACGUGUAGCAGUGAAAUGCGUAGAGAUGUGGAGGAAUACCGAUGGCGAAGGCAGCCUCCUGGGAUAACACUGACGCUCAUGCACGAAAGCGUGGGGAGCAAACAGGGUUAGAUACCCUGGUAGUCCACGCCCUAAACGAUGUCAACUAGUUGUUGGGGAUUCAUUUCCUUAGUAACGUAGCUAACGCGUGAAGUUGACCGCCUGGGGGAGUACGGUCGCAAGAUUAAAACUCAAAGGAAUUGACGGGGACCCGCACAAGCGGUGGGAUGAUGGUGGAUUAAUUCGAUGCAACGCGAAAAACCUUACCUACCCUUGACAUGCCACUAACGAAGCAGAGAUGCAUUAGGUGCUCGAAAGAGAAAGUGGACACAGGUGCUGCAUGGCUGUCGUCAGCUCGUGUCGUGAGAUGUUGGGUUAAGUCCCGCAACGAGCGCAACCCUUGUCUCUAGUUGCUACGAAAGGGCACUCUAGAGAGACUGCCGGUGACAAACCGGAGGAAGGUGGGGAUGACGUCAAGUCCUCAUGGCCCUUAUGGGUAGGGCUUCACACGUCAUACAAUGGUGCAUACAGAGGGUUGCCAAGCCGCGAGGUGGAGCUAAUCCCAGAAAAUGCAUCGUAGUCCGGAUCGUGGUCUGCAACUCGACUACGUGAAGCUGGAAUCGCUAGUAAUCGCGGAUCAGCAUGCCGCGGUGAAUACGUUCCCGGGUCUUGUACACACCGCCCGUCACACCAUGGGAGUGGGCUUUACCAGAAGUAGUUAGCCUAACCGCAAGGAGGGCGAUUACCACGGUAGGGUUCAUGACUGGGGUGAAGUCGUAACAAGGUAGCCGU
rnacentral:rRNA from 1 species